rnacentral:rRNA from 1 species
GUCUGUAUGAAGUUAUAUAGAGUUUAGCCUGCCCAAUGAAAUUUUAUUUAAAAGGCCGCAGUAAUUUGACUGUGCAAAGGUAGCAUAAUAAUUAGUUUUUUAAUUGAAGGCUUGUAUGAAUGGCUGGACAAAGAAAUCUCUGUCUUUUUUGUUAUGUUUGAAUUUUACAUUUAAGUGAAAAGGCUUAAAUAACCUUAAGGGACGAUAAGACCCUAUAAAUCUUUACAUUGAAUUAAAAUUUUUUUAUAAUUCAUAAAAUUUAAUAAUGUUAUGUUGGGGCAACAAAAAUAAAAAAAAAAACUGUUUUAAAAAAUAAACAUUUAUGUGUGAAUAAAAAUAAAAGAUCCUUUAAAAAGAUUAAAAGUUUAAGUUACUUUAGGGAUAACAGCGUUAUUUUUUUUGAGAGUUCUUAUUGAAAAAAAAGUUUGCGACCUCGAUGUUGAAUUAAAAUUUCUCUAUGGUGCAGCAGUUAUAAGAGAGAGUCUGUUCGACUUUUAAAAUUUU